rnacentral:rRNA from 1 species
UACGUAGGGCGCAAGCGUUGUCCGGAAUUAUUGGGCGUAAAGAGCUCGUAGGCGGUUUGUCACGUCGGAUGUGAAAGCCCGGGGCUCAACUCCGGAUCUGCGGUGGGUACGGGCAGACUAGAGUGAUGUAGGGGAGACUGGAAUUCCUGGUGUAGCGGUGAAAUGCGCAGAUAUCAGGAGGAACACCGAUGGCGAAGGCAGGUCUCUGGGCAUUAACUGACGCUGAGGAGCGAAAGCAUGGGGAGCGAACAGG